GAACGCCCCGCAAGGGGAGUGGCGCACGGGUGAGUAACGCGUGGGAACCUGCCCUGGAGUUUGGGAUAACCCGGCGAAAGCCGGGCUAAUACCGGAUACGCCCUAAGGGGGAAAGAUUUAUCGCUCUAGGAGGGGCCCGCGUCGGAUUAGCUAGUUGGUAGGGUAACGGCCUACCAAGACGAUGAUUGGUAUCCGGCCUGAGAGGGCGCACGGACACACUGGAACUGAAACACGGUCCAGACUCCUACGGGAGGCAGCAGUGGGGAAUUUUGCGCAAUGGGGGAAACCCUGACGCAGCAACGCCGCGUGGAGGAUGAAGUCCUUCGGGACGUAAACUCCUUUCGAUCGGGACGAUUAUGACGGUACCGGAAGAAGAAGCCCCGGCUAACUUCGUG
rnacentral:rRNA from 1 species